AUAUCAAUAAGCGGAGGAAAAGAAACUAACAAGGAUUCCCCUAGUAACUGCGAGUGAAGCGGGAAAAGCUCAAAUUUGAAAUCUGGCGGUUCUUGAACUGUCCGAGUUGUAAUCUAGAGAAGUGUUACCUGUGCUGGACCGUGUACAAGUCUCCUGGAAUGGAGCAUCACAGAGGGUGAGAAUCCCGUCUUUGACAUGGACUGCCUGUACGAUAUGGUGCGCUCUCGAAGAGUCGAGUUGUUUGGGAAUGCAGCUCAAAAUGGGUGGUAAAUGCCAUCUAAAGCUAAAUAUUGGCGAGAGACCGAUAGCGAACAAGUACCGUGAGGGAAAGAUGAAAAGAACUUUGGAAAGAGAGUUAAACAGUACGUGAAAUUGCUGAAAGGGAAACGCUUGAAGUCAGUCGCGUCGGCUGGAAAUCAGCCUUGCUUUUGCUUGGUGUACUUUCUGGUUUGACGGGUCAGCAUCAAUUUUGACCACUGGAUAAAGUCGUUGGGAAUGUGGCAUCUUAGGAUGUGUUAUAGCCCAUUGUCGCAUACGGUGGUUGGGAUUGAGGAACUCAGCACGCCCGCAAGGGACGGGUUUUGACCACGUUCGUGCUUAGGAUGCUGGCAUAAUGGCUUUAAUCGACCCGUCUUGAAACACGGACCAAGGAGUCUAACAUGCCUGCGAGUGUUUGGGUGGAAAACCCAUGCGCGCAAUGAAAGUGAAAGUUGAGAUCCCCCCUCAAGGAGGAGCAUUGACGCCCGGACCAGAGCUUCUGUGACGGAUCCGCGGUAGAGCAUGUAUGUUGGGACCCGAAAGAUGGUGAACUAUGCCUGAAUAGGGUGAAGCCAGAGGAAACUCUGGUGGAGGCUCGUAGCGAUUCUGACGUGCAAAUCGAUCGUCAAAUUUGGGUAUAGGGGCGAAAGACUAAUCGAACC
rnacentral:rRNA from 1 species